UGAAUCCGCUUUCGGGCGGAGAGUAAAGUGGCGCACGGGUGAGUAACGCGUGGAUAAUCUACCCCGAGGCCUGGGAUAACUCGCCGAAAGGCGAGCUAAUACCGGAUAAUGUCGCACUACAUAAGUAGUGUGACCAUAGGAGGCUCUGCUUCCGCCACGGGAUGAGUCCGCGUACCAUUAGCUAGUUGGUAGGGUAACGGCCUACCAAGGCUACGAUGGUUAGCUGGUCUGAGAGGACGAUCAGCCACACUGGAACUGAGACACGGUCCAGACUCCUACGGGAGGCAGCAGUGGGGAAUAUUGCGCAAUGGGGGAAACCCUGACGCAGCGACGCCGCGUGAGCGAUGAAGGCCUUCGGGUCGUAAAGCUCUGUCAGGUGGGAAGAAACUUCCGUUGACUAAUAAUUGACGGAACUGACGGUACCACCAGAGGAAGCACCGGCUAACUCCGUGCCAGCAGCCGCGGUAACACGGAGGGUGCAAGCGUUGUUCGGAAUCACUGGGCGUAAAGGACGCGCAGGCGGUUCGGUAAGUCAGAAGUGAAAUCCGUCGGCUCAACCGACGAACUGCUUCUGAUACUGCCAGACUUGAGUACGGGAGAGGAAAGCGGAAUUCCCAGUGUAGAGGUGAAAUUCGUAGAUAUUGGGAAGAACACCGGUGGCGAAGGCGGCUUUCUGGACCGAUACUGACGCUGAGGCGUGAAAGCGUGGGGAGCAAACA
rnacentral:rRNA from 1 species